CGCUGGCGGCGUGCCUAACACAUGCAAGUCGAACGGGGAUUUGUUUCGGCAGAAUCCUAGUGGCGAACGGGUGAGUAACGCGUAGGCAACCUGCCCUCCGGCCGGGGACAACACUCCGAAAGGGGUGCUAAUACCGGAUACGAAGUCUGUGCCGCAUGGUACGGAUUUGAAAGAUGGCCUCUAUUUAUAAGCUAUCGCCGGGGGAUGGGCCUGCGUCCGAUUAGCUGGUUGGUGGGGUAACGGCCUACCAAGGCGACGAUCGGUAGCCGGUCUGAGAGGAUGAACGGCCACAUUGGGACUGAGACACGGCCCAGACUCCUACGGGAGGCAGCAGUGGGGAAUCUUCCGCAAUGGGCGCAAGCCUGACGGAGCAACGCCGCCGUGAGUGAGGAAGUUCUUCGGAACGUAAAGCUCUGUUGUUCCUGACGAACCUCCCCUCUAUCAACAACGGAGGGGACUGACGGUAGGGAACGAGGAAGCCACGGCUAACUACGUGCCAGCCGCCGC
rnacentral:rRNA from 1 species